rnacentral:rRNA from 1 species
CUCCUACGGGAGGCAGCAGUGGGGAAUAUGGGACAAUGGGCGCAAGCCUGAUGCAGCCAUGCCGCGUGUGUGAAGAAGGCUCUAGGGUUGUAAAGCACUUUCAGCGAGGAGGAAAGGCAUAAGGUUAAUACCCUUGAUCUGUGACGUUACUCGCAGAAGAAGCACCGGCUAACUCCGUGCCAGCAGCCGCGGUAAUACGGAGGGUGCAAGCGUUAAUCCGAAUUACUGGGCGUAAAGCGUGCGUAGGCGGCUUGUUAAUGGUGAUGUGAAAGCCCCGGGCUCAACCUGGGAACUGCAUCCAAAACUGGCUAGCUAGAGUGCAGCAGAGGAGUGUGGAAUUUCCUGUGUAGCGGUGAAAUGCGUAGAUAUAGGAAGGAACACCAGUGGCGGAGGGGACACUCUGGGCUGAUACUGACGGUGAGGUACGAAAGCGUGGGGAGCAAACAGGAUUAGAUACAGAGGUAGUCCACGCCGUAAA